rnacentral:rRNA from 1 species
AGUGAACGCUGGCGGUAGGCCUAACACAUGCAAGUCGAACGGCAGCACAGUAAGAGCUUGCUCUUACGGGUGGCGAGUGGCGGACGGGUGAGGAAUACAUCGGAAUCUACUUUUUCGUGGGGGAUAACGUAGGGAAACUUACGCUAAUACCGCAUACGACCUACGGGUGAAAGCAGGGGAUCUUCGGACCUUGCGCGAUUGAAUGAGCCGAUGUCGGAUUAGCUAGUUGGCGGGGUAAAGGCCCACCAAGGCGACGCUCCGUAGCUGGUCUGAGAGGAGGAUCAGCCACACUGGAACUGAGACACGGUCCAGACUCCUACGGGAGGCAGCAGUGGGGAAUAUUGGACAAUGGGCGCAAGCCUGAUCCAGCCAUACCGCGUGGGUGAAGAAGGCCUUCGGGUUGUAAAGCCCUUUUGUUGGGAAAGAAAAGCAGCAGGUUAAUACCCCGCUGUUCUGACGGUACCCAAAGAAUAAGCACCGGCUAACUUCGUG